UCAUGGGGCCAUGAAUAUGUUAGGUGAACAUCAAAUCUUUGAACAUGGUUCUUAUUAGUUCUCUAAAUGUUAAUAUUUGAAUGGUUUUUGCUAAUAUUAUGACAAAAGGUUUGAUUUAUGAGCUGGUUAAGUGGUUGUCAUAAUUGCAUUGUGCCUUGGACUAGCAAGUUGACAUGUUUCUAAUGAGAAUUUUCUUGGUCUGAACUUGUAUUUUCUGUCUACUGAUUUAUUUCAGGGACUUUUGUUGCCUGAGUUGUAUAAUAUGAGGUUAUUGUUAGAAUCCCUCAAUUAGUG
rnacentral:misc_RNA from 1 species